rnacentral:lncRNA from 1 species
ACAAAUAAUUUUUCAUAAAUUGUUAGUUGCGACAUGUCCUUACUUGUAUAUUUUUGGUUGAAAGGGUGCGCAGACAAUAAAUGGGAGUUUUUGCCCAUCUUACAUUUAGAAUUAUGCGUAAAGUGAUAUUACUCAUUAACCAAACAUAUUAAAGACCUAGGGUCUUUUGAUUUAAGGUCCUUGGUUUGUGACCUUGAAAUUGAGGUCAAGGUCAUAGGUUAAUAUGACGUUCUAGAUUUUGACCUUUGCUUUAAAUUCAUAUAAAUACAUCAUAAAGCCAUAGGAACUAACAUUUUAAACUGAUUUUUCAUAUUUCAAUAUCAAAAUAGAUCUUUACUAGUGGAAAGACCUUCAAUUGUUCUCUGAACAAUUGGUUUUUAAUUAUUAUUAUUAUUUUUUUUUUUUUUUCUUCCGCCUAAUUUUUUUUCUUGCGUAUUAUUGAUGUUUCAAAAGAUGUCGCUUAGAUAUUUGGAAUAUGGUAUCGUAUAGUUUAUACGCUUUAAAAAUUUACAACUGCGUAACAAAAUACUUUACGUUGUAAGAGUUAUCUCCCCAAACACUGUUUUUCUUGUGGCCACUACUCCUUCGCAACCGUUAAAGAUUACGACAAAUUUAUUUUACCAAAUUGCUCGUUACAUCUUCAGGAUUAGGAUAUUCAUUUGGACCGAAGCUUUACGGAGACUCCAUAUGAGAGUUAUUCCCCCUUUUCCAUUUAAUUAAGUGAUAUGCAUUUCUAAAUGGUAAACCAUAAGUGAUAAAGACAUAGGGUCUUUAGAUUUGGGGUCCUUGGUCCAAAAAAAUAAAAAUGAGGUCAAGGUCAAAGGUCAAGGUCAUAUUCUAAAUUUUGAUUUUGGCUUAUUUUCAUUUAUUUUCAAAUACCUUAUGACAUAUCGACAAAUAAUUUUUCAUAAAUUGUUAGUUGCGACAUGUCCUUACUUGUAUAUUUUGAUUGAAAGGGUGCGCAGACAAUAAAUGGGAGUUUUUGCCCAUCUUACAUUUAGAAUUACGCGUAAAGUGAUAUUACUAAUAAACCAAACAUAUUAAAGACCUUGGGUCUUUUGAUUUAAGGUCCUUGGUUUGUGAACUUGAAAUUGAGGUCAAGGUCAUAGGUUAAU